ACGGCGUGGAAGCCGCGUGCGAGGAAGCGUAGGCGGGGCAGCAGGCAGAGAAGCUGUGGUCUGGUCAGAUGUAAACACGGAAGAUGGCAGCUGGUAGCACAGACACCUCACUCGACAGGAAUGAUUUUACGCCCAGCAUCAGCACCAUGCCACCUAGACCAGAAGUGACAUAUAACUGGGUGAAUAUUACUUCAGAUUUCUUCCAUGCUACGAAAGACCUUCAGUUGGGUGAGCUGUUGCAUGAUGACAUUUUUGGGCUCUUUGAAGCUAUGUCUGCAAUAGAAAUGAUGGACCCCAAAAUGGAUGCUGGUAUGAUGUGUAACAGGGGCAAAAAAGUGCUAAAUUUUGACCAGGCUGUUAAGGCUGGAGCUUUAAAACUUAAUAACCUAACAAUGGAGGAAUUAGUUGGCAUAAUGGACUCCAUGCUGGCAUGCUUGGUAACCUGGCUAGAGGGUCACUCUGCUGCACAGACAAUAUUAACCUGCCUGUAUCUCCACAAGCCACUUAGUAUUGAAGACCGUGCACUAAGAGCAUUUUCCAUACAAACUCUCAAGCUUAUUGCCAUCAUAAAUAAUAUUGUUCAUAGUGCUGGUGUAUUUGAAGAAGAAGAUUUCCAACCAGCUUUAUAUGGGUAUGGUGUUUGUUCUGAAGUUUCCGAAGUGAGGGCAGGAGGCAUGAUGAGGGAAGUUGAAGAGGAACUACAAAGAGCAGUGAAAGCUUCAAGGAACCGCCAAGGUGAACCAUGGGACCCGAAAAUGCAAAAACAGCAUGAGGACGCAGUGGCUCUUUUCUCCAGGAUUCGCUUCAUGCGGCUGUUUUAUGCUGCCCUAGCAGCUAUCAUGAGAAGAGAACAGGUGUCUAUCCCAGAGGCAGAGAGGUGUUUAGCAUCUUGUAACGAAUUGGUGUGUAUUAUGCAGAACACCAUCGGUCGGGGUUUGAGACCCAAGCAACCUAAGGAUGAAGAAGGAAAUAAAGUGGACUAUCCAGUGAUAAUGGGGUUUGAACCUCUAGUCAAUCAGCGUCUCUUGCCUCCAACAUUCCCACGCUAUACCAGACUGCGAACACGUAAGGAAGCAAUGAAUUACCUUGAAGAAAUGGUUGGACGUCUUCGUCACAUCACAAAAAUUACACACUGUGCAAGCUUUCAUUCUGCUCUGGAAUUCAUAGAGUAUUUUUCCGAAAGUCGACCAUGUGUGUUGUCAAGAUCGCUAGCCCAAGUGUUGUACCUUGGAGGUGACAAACUGUGGGGAGGUCAAGCAAUGGCAGAAGCAUUAAGGGAAGCUGCUCGCAGCUUCAUCUGUCCUCCUGCACUAUUGCCAAAAGCUCCAGUUAUGAAUAAUGUUCAGGCCAAAGAUUAUGUUGACUCUUUCUUCAACCGGUGUGUUAGACCGUUUGAACAGCUUAUUCAAACCUGCGGACACAACAGAGCACGUCAGCGAGAUAAAGUGGCUCAUCUUUUGGAGGAAUUUGCAAUGUUGCAGGAUGAAGCAGAUAAAGUGGAUGCAUACCUGCACAAUGUUUUACUGAAGAGUGACCAACCAAGACCACAUUUAGCAUACCUGGGCACAUGGGUUCUCUACCAUACGUUAAGGUUAAUGAUUAAAUACCUACUGACGGGAUUCACACUGGAGCUGUAUGCUGUACACGAGUACCAUUAUGUCUACUGGUAUCUCUAUGAAUUUGUUUACGUAUGGUUGGUGAGUGCACUUUCAAGGGCAGAUGCCAUGCUCCUGGAGCAAGACGGCUAUGAUACAAACAAGAGCGGCAAAAGUGGAAGAUCAUCAAAAAACAAAAACAGAAAUAAAAAGAAACAUCGGCCAUAUGGUAAAGAAAUCACAUAUAACCAGGCACUUCAACACUUGUGUGGGGGUUACUAUAAAGCAAUGUUAGGCUUGAGAGAGGCAGGAAAGGUGAAGCUACCUCUUCAAGAAUUUGAUAGUGAACAAGUUCGGUAUGAGCAUCGCUUCCUGCCAUUCAGUGUAGUCAUGACACCUCCACCUGUGCACUAUGAUCAGUUUCUAUCCAUGACUGAUUUAUCCAACUUUCCUCAGCCAGUGUCUCCAGCCACACUUUAUCAUGAUGCUAGGAAUCAUUUCUUCAAAGCACGGUCUCUACUUGAAACAAUUCAUGCUCCCAGCAGUGAGACUCGUGGGGUGGGCGACCAAGCCCCUGAGUUAAGACUGUAUUGGAAGAUCGAACUCUGUAGCCUCCGCUACAUUAGGCCCUGACCUUGUUCCUUCUCGGACUCUCCUGACUGAUGUUGACGACUGACAGAUCAGGACUACACACAGCCCUCAGAUGUGGAUAUGGCAGAUGAUGAGAGUAGACAUGCUGGUGCCACGUGGGUAAGGCGUAGUCUGUCAUCCAUACCUCCUCGCCCACACUAGACACCACUUUGCACUCAACCACAUACAGUAGUUCAUGUGGUUGAGUGCAAGAUCUCUGCAAGAUGAUGAUGUUUUAGACAACGAGUCUGAGGAAGAUGAAUCAUUUUCUGGUUUUAGUGAUUUAUAAUCAGAGAAUAGUUUUGCUGUCGCUAGUGCCAGUGGAAUGCGUGGUGUUAACGAGGGACGUUUUAUCGCAUCAGCAGCAUUUGGCCCAGCCAAGCGCCACCUCAUGGCACCACACGGGGACAGACAUGAACAAAACCCCUCAUUGUCAAGUAAUUUUCCCUCAUCAUUACUUCCCAUUCCUACUGUUGCUAGACGGGCUUCAGCUCCUGGUCCAUGGAUUCCUCGCUGUGGUGCUGCUGUUGCCUCUCAGAAGACACCAAGUGUUUUAUGUGGAGUGAUGGGAAGAUUUUGUCCCAGAAAUUCCCACCUUUGACAAUACAGAUGUUGGGAUUACAGACCUUUUCCCUGAUACAGGUAAUGAUAUACGUAUGUUAAAUUGACUACUUUGCCGUAUAUUUUGAUGAGCUGCUAAUGGAACAUAUUGUUCGGGAAACAAACAAAUAUGCGGCUGAUCUCAUUGAUGAAGAGCUAUCGGAUUUUUCAGGAUUACAGUGUUGGAAAGAUAAGACUGUAGGUGAAAAGUAUGUGUUUUUGGCAGUGUGUAUGUUGCUGAAGCAUUGUGUCAAAUAUGUAAUCAACCAUUACUGGAGCAAAGACCAGACUGUUCCAACACCAUUGUUCGGGAAAUAUAUGUCUCGAGACAGAUUUGUGAUACACCUCAGGUGUCUUCAAUUUGCAAGUAAUGAAGACGAGACAGAGGAUGAUAGGCUUUGGAGGGCAAGGCACGUCCUGAAUGAAUUUGUUGGAAAGUUCAGAGAUUUCUACGUACGGGCUCAGAAGCUGGUGAUUGAUGAACCCCUUGUGCUUUUCAAAGGACGUGCCAUUUGUCAGAGUACAAAUUCUUUGUACUCUGUGACUGUAAACCAGGAAUUGUUACACAUGAUGAUGUAUUUGGGUACAAAUGUAGACAUUCGUGCUAAUGACAAACAUGGUUUCUCAGGUAGUGUGGUGAGGUCACUGCUUGUGCCAUGACUGAACAAGGGCCACAUAUUAUUCACAGAUAACUAUUAUAUGUCCCCUUGCUACCUAGGUUCUUUCUUGAUAAUAGAACUGGAGUGUGUCGCACAGUGAAGGCAAAACGAAGGGAAAUGCCUGUGUUUGACACUAUGUAGGUUGGUGAUUGCGCGCUAAGAAAAGCUGGUGGAAUGCUUUCAGUGCGCGGGAAAGACAGGCGUGAAGUGAACAUGUUGACAAGCUGUUCACAAUGGUACAAUGCUGAACAGUGGCAAGGUGAACAAUUGCACGAAACAACCAUUAUAUAAACCAGAUUUAGUUUUGGACUAUAACAUCAACAUGCAUUUGGUGGAUAAAUGUGAUAUGAUGGUGGGGGGCAGUCGAGUGUGUACGGAAAACAGUGAAGUGGAUCAAGAAGAUUUUUUCCACCUUGUUGACGUAAUAAUGCUGAACAGUUACAUUACUAUAUGUAUCUUGUGAAAACAGGAUACAUAAACCAAAUUUCUGUUCGUUUAGUUUUACUGUAGUGACACAACUACUGGAAAAGUUUGGCAAACCAAUUACUGGCAUACCAAGGCCCAUUGUGAGCCCAGUAUUGCACCAUGCUUCCACACCCAUGCUCACUUUCAAGAAGGCCUUUCUUGCACACAAAAUAUGGUAUUUACCACCAACUGGAAAGCAUGCAGUAGGCCAGUGUGAGUGCAUUGUGUGUAAGACCACACAAAAGAACCCACCAAAACAAAAAUUGGUCCUAACAUGGUGCUCAGCGAGUAAGGUCCCUUUGUGCUAUGUCAAGUGUUUCGACGAGUAUCACAGUCUCCAGGACUUCUAAAUGUCCAAUAAUGGUGCAAAAACAUGUACAUGUUGAGUGAAUGUAUAUAUUGAAACCAUGUUCAUAAUACUGUACAUUUUAUAUUUCCUGAAAAGUAAAACAUUUUUGUGCACAUACAUGUGACACUAAUAUGUGAGUGUAUUGAAUAAGUUGUAUUAUAAUGCAACAUCACUUGACUAUAUAUUUUACGAUACUAGUGAAAAAAUUAUUGUAAAAUAGUCCAUAGAUACUGUAAAUAAUGCCGUAAAAAUAAAUUCGCUGCAACUCGGGCUGCUUGAACACCGUGCAUGCGACACUCCCGGGACGCACCAUGCUUGAGCGACAAAGAUCUGUGACGUCAUUGGCCAAGUUCUCGGCUCAUUUACGUCAUUGGUGCAACAGCUUCUGAAAGUAGUCAAAACAAACUUUGUUGUCAUGAAGCUUUUGGAGGGUGGCCAUAAGGCUGAUGACCCAACUCGACCCCAAUUUGACUUCACAACCCACCCGUGCUUUCCAAUUAUCA